AAAGAGCCUAGAUCCAGGUGGAUGAAGGAGAGACCAGAGUAAUGGGAGCAGACCCUGAGGUGCUGGUCCCUGAACUUCUGCUUCCUGAUUUACCCUGGACUGGAAGAGGGAUGAGAACAAACAUACUCAGGACAUGAAAGUGAUGCUGACCAGAGCUGCAGGGGAUGCAAACUUCCAGCAGUGGACAGAUGUGGUGGUGCCUUCCGGGGAAGAUCAGGGCUAUACAUGCCAUGUGAAUCACCAGUUGUUCUCAGAGCUUCUCACCAUGAGAAG
rnacentral:lncRNA from 1 species